UAGCCAUUGAGAGACCUUGUCUCAGAAAUUG
rnacentral:piRNA from 1 species